CCUACGGGGGGCUGCAGUGAGGAAUAUUGCGCAAUGGCCGAAAGGCUGACGCAGCGACGCCGCGUGGGGGAUGACGGCCUUCGGGUUGUAAACCCUUGUCAGUGGGGAAGAAAAAAAUGACUGUACCCACAGAGGAAGCCCCGGCUAACUACGUGCCAGCAGCCGCGGUAAGACGUAGGGGGCGAGCGUUGUUCGGAAUUACUGGGCGUAAAGAGCUCGUAGGCUGGAAAUUAAGUCUUUGAACAAAUCUCCCGGCUCAACCGGGAACCGUUUAGAGAUACUGAUUUUCUUGAGAACAGGAGAGGGGAAUGGAAUUCCUAGUGUAGCGGUGAAAUGCGUAGAUAUUAGGAGGAACACCAGUGGCGAAGGCGGUUCUCUGGCCUGUUUCUGACGCUGAGGAGCGAAAGCUGGGGGAGCGAACGGGCUUAGAUACCCCAGUAGUC
rnacentral:rRNA from 1 species